CAUAUCUUUUUGGGUUAAACUGUUUUAUAUGUGUUUUUGAUAAAAGCAUUUAUAUGUAUUUUAUAUUUUGCUAAACUAACUUUGUAUGUUUUAUUUUUUUAAAUAGGUCUUGAGUUUCCUAAGAAGUUUUAACCGGAACUGUUCUUCACACCCUUGGAAUGGAAGAAGAGGUCUCGAGCUUCCCAAGAAGUUUUAGACAGAACUGUUCUUCAAACCAUUGGAAUGGAGAAAGAGGUCUCAAGCUUCCAAAGACGUUUUAGAUAGAACUGUUUAUCAAACCCUUGGAAUGGAAGAAGAGAGAGUUCAAAUCCUAGUGAAGCAACCACUGAGGGAGUUAGUUGCAGUGAAUGACGCUCUUCCAUCGUCUGGUUAUCACUGACAUCUCUUUGUCCUGAGCCUUUUCCAGCCAACGUCUGCUCCAUUUAACUAGAGAGGAACCACAGCCUGACAGUCUGUUUUUCCUCUGUGCCCCACUGAAUCUAGAGAGCUGAGUGUUGUAUCCAACCAGAACCAGUAAGUUACCCUGUUGUUGUAGAAGACAAGUAAAGGCUCAGAUACUGAUUAAUAAAGCACAGCCUGGCCUGAGCUUGCCUCUCACUGGGCUGUACACUUGUAGGACCUCUUAAUAUAAUUAUAAUUUAAUACUGGGUGGCCGAUGAUAAGAGAUUCUCCAAUUUAGAGAGAAUUUAUAGUGCAGACUACACAGGAGCUGAACUCACUAGAAAAAUGUCUGAACCUGGAAGUCCCAAUGAGAUGCCUUCCACAGAAAAUAAUGAAGCUCUCUGGGAUAGAAAAUCUCACAGGUGAGGGUGAAGUUAACAGGGGAACACCUAUCACAGGUUACUAGAUCUCAUCCACUAAUUCUUCCCCCAAACACUUAACUUCAGUUUAACCUCCUGACAACUGGACUCAGCCUCUGGUCUCUUGUUUCCAACGUCUUCAUCUUUCUAUAUCAUUUCAUUUAGAUUAAGAACUCACAAGCAACUCUUGUAUUUACUUUGUAUAUGUUGUGAUCUUUCUAAUGUUGUUAAUAAAAUCUCAUAUCAGUGUAAACAAAUAAAAUACAUUACAAAGGGA